CCUACGGGAGGCAGCAGUGGGGAAUAUUGGACAAUGGGGGCAACCCUGAUCCAGCCAUGCCGCGUGUGUGAAGAAGGCCCUCGGGUUGUAAAGCACUUUCAGUGAGGAAGAACGCCUGGUGGUUAAUACCCAUCAGGAAAGACAUCACUCACAGAAGAAGCACCGGCUAACUCCGUGCCAGCAGCCGCGGUAAUACGGAGGGUGCGAGCGAUAAUCGGAAUUACUGGGCGUAAAGCGCGCGUAGGUGGCUUGAUAAGCCGGUUGUGAAAGCCCCGGACUCAACCUGGGAACGGCAUCCGGAACUGUCAAGCUAGAGUGCAGGAGAGGAAGGUAGAAUUCCCGGUGUAGCGGUGAAAUGCGUAGAGAUCGGGAGGAAUACCAGUGGCGAAGGCGGCCUUCUGGACUGACACUGACACUGAGGUGCGAAAGCGUGGGUAGCAAACAGGAUUAGAUACCCCAGUAGUC
rnacentral:rRNA from 1 species